ACCCAGUCCAGCAGAGAGCAGCUUCACUUCUGAAUCCUGUACGUCAUUGUCACUCAGGUCCAGCUCUCUCAGAUGUGAGUGGUUUGAUCUGAGAGCUGAAGCCAGCGCCUCACAGCAUUCCUCUUCCUGCCAGAGGAAGAGAGGAUGAGACCCUGGACUGACGUCAAGAUCAAAUGGUGUGACGUCAUAGAAACCGCAAGAUGCCCACGGUCGAGCACAGAACCAACCGUGAGGAAGUGAGGAAUGCAAACAGGAGGCGAACUGCAAUCAACUGCAUUCCCUGGCACAACAACAACCCUGUGUAUCAAUCGACGCGUCUGGAAGGCUAAGAGCUGCCAGCCAUCGCUGUGACCGGGUCCCUCUUCCUCCGACUGUACAUUAAGCCGGUCAGUCCCCACAAGCUGUUGUGAGGAAUUGUCUCUAUGAAAAAUGAGCCUUUUCUUUCCCGAGUGCUUGCAGCUCCCUCUGUGUUGUCCUGUGUGUGUGACGCAGCUCCUGACCCCCUGCCCAGUCAGCAUGAUCCCCAAUCCCCAUUUAUCCCCAGUUAUCACUUUGUGAGGCUGGAGAAGUCCUGCCAUUUCCUGCAGACUUCAAUCCCAGAUCACUGCUGGCCACAGUAGCCUUUCAUCCUGGCAGUGAUUCCCUCCAUUGUUCCCCCACCUCCUCCAUUAGUUGUAUCGCCGCCUUGCAGAGCUGAUGUUUCCUCUUUCUCUGGCUGCUGUCCAUGGUUUCUUUGUACAAAGAGCCCCAUCACGUUUUCAGCCUAUUGGUAUAUUUGCAACUGAUAAUUUAAUUUGUUAUCCCAUCUGUGCGUUUUCACAAGUUUAGAUUUGCAUUAUAUGUUAUAUUGUUCAUGUUUACAUGCAUCAUGUGGCAAUGAUUUGACUCGCAUUUUGCUCUUUACAUACUUGGAAUCGAUUUUCCUCUUAUUGACAGUUUGUGCUUUUCUCACGUGGAGGCUGGGAAGAGCCAACAAAGUGCUACUUAAAGUUUGUCUGUUAAUUCUGGAAUAAUGAAGGCUUUUGGGAAACGCACAUAGACCACACUCAUUCUUUACUUACAUUGUUCAUUAUUUUAUUCAUUAUUCACUACGUAAGACUGAUCGCCUUAGGGAAAGCCCUCCCUGACUAGUAACUCUGAAAGGAGGAGAUGUGAACAUCCUCAGCAACUACUGCAGGCCUGUCCGGCUUUAUCCAUCCAUCCAUUUCCCAAACCGCCUUUCCUAUUGGGUCGCGGGGGGUCCGGAGC